UACGAAGGGGGCUAGCGUUGUUCGGAAUCACUGGGCGUAAAGCGCACGUAGGCGGACCGUUAAGUCGGAGGUGAAAGCCUGGGGCUCAACCCCAGAACUGCCUUCGAUACUGGCGGUCUUGAGUAUGGUAGAGGUUGGUGGAACUCCGAGUGUAGAGGUGAAAUUCGUAGAUAUUCGGAAGAACACCUGUGGCGAAAGCGGCGCACUGGACCACAACUGACGCUGAGGCGCGAAAGCUAGGGGAGCAAACAGG
rnacentral:rRNA from 1 species